UUGGAAGCAUUCCUGUCCCACUCUUGGAUUUUGCUAAUGGUUUGCUUAGUUGAAGAAUAAGCUUCCAUGCUCUCAUACUCUGUAGAGAAGAGCCUCAACUUUGGGUGUCUCCACCCUUAGGAUGGGGCAAACGUAAUAGGCAUUCUGUAGGAAAACUACUUCAGAUUUUGAAUUUGCUCUGCUCCCAGGCUAUCUAGAGGUAGGAAUAAACCCCUUAUAAUAUUGGGCAGCAGCGGCAGUGGCAGCAGCAACCACAACCCCCAAGCAGCCAUGUGAUCAUACUGUCAGGCUGGGAUGCUUGGAAAGUGAGAUCUACACACCGAGUUUUCUACUUAGGAUAUUUAAGAUAGCCUCAGUGUAGGACCAGCUUAUCUGGACAUAUCCCAUUGCAUGCUGAACAGAACCUAGGCUUUAAGCCUCUUGUGAUUUUCCGGUCCAUGCUUUCGUGGUAACAUUCUACACCUGUGCCAUUCACUGAAGCAGACAGCUUCCCAGCUUCCAUCUGUGCUCCCAAAUCGAAGGACUUAGUUCCACUCAUAGACUGGGCCCUACUUACAUUUGUCCCUUGGCUUUGGAGGUGACUUCUAAGGCAGUCUGUCUCUCUGUGGAAAAGGAAAGCCCAAGCCUGCAUCUGAAACAUGAGGCUAUUUCUUGAAGACGGCCACUCAUAUAUCAAAAACAAUUCAUCCUGACUUGGUUUUUGUCUCUUUCCAUCUGAAAAGACAAGAGCAUUAAUUAACAUCCGACUUGAUGUGAAAACACAACUAGAAAUCACAACAGAAGUUUAACCUUUAAAGAGUUUGCAUUUAAAUUUUCUGAGAGAGAAAGCAAGUGUGUAUUCUAUUGAUGCAUUUUCUCUACCAACUCUCAAAACCUGCAGGUGUUAAAUUAGCUGCAAGAACUGCUCCAGGCUUCCAAGUCUGUAGGAGAAACAUGCUAAUGAGGACUGAAGGAAAUUAAUGGAAGAGAGUCCAGGACGCUGGGAGAGAAGUUCAGCAAUGCUUCCUAUGUGCGGGAUCUUCAGAGAAGCAGCUUCAAGCAGCCAAGAGCUCCUGAGUGAAAUAGACUGUUCUGCUCUUCACACUUAAGCACUUCCUUCUGAUGCUCGGGUCUGAAAUCUCCUGAAGGUAACAUGAGCAUCUGAGGUUCUAAUACAGGAAUGGGGGAGAGUAAGAAGAGGCCCUCAACACCCCUAAACCUGUACCCCUUAAGACUAUAUAAUAAGAAGAAAGACAUGUGUUAUUAUAUAAAUUCUGACUUGAGUACAGAAGAUGAGUCAAAUGUCAAGUUUUCAACAAUCCCCACCGUCUACCCAGAUCAAAUGUCUCACUUUAUACGUGAAAAACUAAGGCACAGAAAGACUAAGGAUGAUCUCUGAACACAAGCAUCCUGGUUUGUGACUCUCUUGAGACUUGAAUUUGUGCCUAGGCAUAUUGAUGGCAACGAAGAGGCUCACAGGGGUUUGACAUGGAUGCUCAUGCUAUUCCAGUGGUGCCUGUGACCAGAGGGUAGUAAUUUCAAUGAGAGUGACCCGGGGACCAUGAAUCAUGCCUUUAUUUGUAUUAUUGUAUCCAGUCAAUUGGGUCUGAUAGACAUCUAUUGAAUGCCUGCUAUCCAAGAGCCUUGGAGAUGUCAUGGUUGAUCAAGGGAGACAAAUGACCGAUACGCAAACAAAUAAAUGUUAUCCAGGGUAAUAAAUGUUGAGCAAAGUGCUAAGGGAACAGUGACAGGGGACAGUUUAUUCUGCCCAGGCACAGGAAAGUGAGGAGGCAUUCUUCAGACAGUGGGGAAGCAUGCCAAGUUUGUUUGUUUGGUGAGAUGUGUUUCUAUUUGAGUUGCCUCUUUGAAUGAUAGAGUAUCUAUGAAGAAAAAAGAUGGUGUGAUAUCGUAAACAAAAACAGGCCCCAG
rnacentral:lncRNA from 1 species